rnacentral:rRNA from 1 species
UUUUAACGGCUGCGGUAUUUUGACUGUGCUAAGGUAGCAUAAUCACUUGUUAUUUAAUUGGUGACUGGAAUGAAAGGUUAAACUAGUUUAUUAGGUUUGUAAGGUUGUAUAGAAGCUUAAAGUUAAGGUAAGAAUUCUUUAAUUUUCUAGGGGACGAUAAGACCCUAGAAGCUUAACAAGUAGAGUUUAGGUUUGAUUUAUAAGUUUGUUUGUUUUACUGGGGCGGUAAAAGUAAUUAAGCUAUUUGUUAUUUAGAGGAUCUUCAAUAUAGGAAAAAAAUAGGAUAGUUACUCUAGGGGUAACAGUGUUAUAUUUUGGAGAGAUACUGAUCGAUAAUAAUAGGCGCU